GAAAACCCUCUCACUGAAGCCAUUGUUUCCCGAUAGCCAAUCUAAAUCUUCCCUGGUGCAACUUGAGGCUGCUUCCUCUUGUCCUAUUUCUUUUUACUGGUGAGAAGUGAUUACCUUCACCUGACCACAACCUCCUUUCAUGUGGUUUCAGAGAUUGACAAGGUCUCCCCUGAGCCUCCUUUUCUCCAGGCUAAACACCCCCAGCUCUCAGCAGCUCCUCAUAGAACCUGUGCUCCAGACUCUUCACCAGCUUUGCUGCUCUCUGGACAUCUUCAGGAAUGGAGAUGAAGCCAGAGAGCAAAGAAAAUCAUCUUCUCUGCUGAAGCACUGCAAACUUGUUCUCAGGAAGCCUAAGAGAGGGAAUGUAUGUCAACUGGAAAAGAGAGCAGGGAAGAAAAUGAUUGGGAAAAGUUGUCAACUCCCAUAGCACAGCUGAUGACUGCUCUGCUUUCUGCCAGGUGGCUGCAUUCAUCUCUGGGGUGGCUGAAAUCAUCUUUGGGCAACAUUCACCUUCAGAAAAUGCUCAUGGGCACUCAGAUGAAGGUGGUGGAUGUGGUCUACAGGGAAGAGAGUAUUUCCCUCCUGCCCGGCUGACACAGGUGCCUGAAUUACAUCAGCUGGUGAGCACGAAUUUGUUCAAUCCGUGCCCUGCCGGACGCCAGAACGAAGGAUAUUUGUGCGAUUAGAGGCGGCUCCCAGGUGGAACACCAGUAGAUGGCGCUUGGGAAUGUGCAAUCUGCACACUCCGGGGAAAAGCGAAUAAUUUCUGCCUCCAAUUGAUAAAGGACAACAGCUGAGACAUGACUGUCUUAAAGUAAAACCAUGGUAACAUGAUGACCUGUAAUUUCUUAUAACAGAGAUAAAGGCAACUUUUUUUUUUUUUUUUUUUUUUUUUUUUUUUUUUUUUUUUUUUUUUUUUUUUUUUUCCCCAGUACAACCUGGAAAUAUUUGACUCAUUGUAUUUCCCUCUCAGUACCGAGCUCCCCUGAUGGUUCUUGGAAGAUUGGCAAUGUCUGCCUUUGGGGUUCAGAAACCUUAGAGGAAUAUUCACCUGGAUAAUAGGACCUCCUCUGAAGCUCCAUCCCCUCUCACAGUGCUGUUUCCUUCCCUUGUGGUCAAGGCAUCCCCUCCAGCUCCUGCAGGAGAGCUCUGCACAGGGCAGGCAGCAUGAGCAGAAGAUGGUCUUUGGAGAGUGGCAACGGCAAAAAGGGCAUUAAAUUAGGACUGUUGGUCCUGUGCUCCCUGUGCUUUGAAGGGAUCACAGCUAUCCUGCAACAAGACAUGUGGGAUGAUGCUGUGCUGAGUGCCAGGGAAGUGUCUGCCACAGGAAGGGUGUUCUACCUCUCUGUGUCGCCUGCUUUAAGGGAAGGGUAGUAAAAGUCUGCUGCCUUGAUGACCUGGUCCCCACACUUUGUCCAAAGCUCUGCCACCAGUGCUGUAGUGCUGAAAGGAUUUUAAGUCAGCUUGGAUUUUUUUCAUUCCAUUUCUGCACUGCAGGUCUAGUAAGUUAAAUGUCCCAUAGCCAGCUACUCCAUUACACAACAAAGGCUAGGCAUUUGUUGUGCCUGAACAAAUAGCAGCAAAGGAGAAAAAUGUCAGGUGUAGGGGUGUGUGUGGAAUUUAUGCAAUUUUUCAUAGAUAUGACAUACCAUUUUCCUAGCAACUUCACCACAAGGCCCUCAGAGCUGUAGACGGAGGCAAACAGCUUUGCUUUAAUGUGAGAAAGAAAUUCCGCCAGCACUUUGCCAGAGUAAUGGGCAAAAUUAUGCAGCUUUGUCCCCUGAAAAGGCUGGCAUUGCAACAGGCCUUUUUAUCCCAAAUGAGCAGCUGAAUAAUAUUUUUGACAACUUAUUGUGAAGAAAAUGCACAGUGUUUUUGAGAAGGGGUUUGUUUUCCUUUCACACAGUUGCAAACAAUCUCACCUUUUCUCCACUGAUGCAUACCAUACAUCUGAGCACCCCUUUCUAGCCUUAUUAAUAUGGCAUAUUUCAUAUCGUGUAGAAGAUUUUUAAUAACUUACUCGUGGAAAUGUUGACAAAAUCUUCACAUUUCUGCAAAUUUUAUAUAUGCAAAUAAAUCACUGCCUUUCCAUUAAAACUGCAUCCAGAAUUCCUAUUAUUACCCCGAUUUACAUUUGUUUUCUAUAAACCUUUCUCUUCCAAGUGGCUGCAGAAACACUGAUCCAAAAAACCUUGCAGCCAAUCUUGAUGGCCCAAAUCUGAAUUUCUAUUUUAUAAUGGUUUGGAGUA